ensembl:lincRNA
AUGACCCCUGGUGCUGACCACAUCGGGAGGAGCCAGUCUUUCCAUGAUCUCCCAGCUGCUCCUUCUCUGGUCUCCCUCCUCAGCCGAGGCCACCAUGUGCCCGAGCACAAACGUGCUGACUGGCUGAGGGGCCCCGCACUUCAGGUUUUUCAUGAUGGGAUCCUCGGCCAUGGACCUCCCAUGCCGCUCUGUCCGCGCUUCCAUGUGACUGUGGGUGAGAGCACCAUCACAGCCCCCAUCAUGGAGUCCGAGCUGUCCGUUCAUCUCACCGAAUCACCCACGACACUGGGAGGGUCGACAAAGCAGAUGCUGUGCUGUAUUCAUACUCCUGUUCAUUCCACCCUUGGAAACCACAACGAUAGGUGCACAGGUCUACACCUACCAGUCCCCCAACCUAUGCUCCAAAUCGCUGCUGCGUCCAACCUCCAGGAAGCCCGGGGAUACCAGCACUCUUGACAUCAGAGCACCCUCUUCUUCUACCUCCAAACAGGGUAUGGCACGCUUAUUAUUUAACAAUUUAAAAGAAUUCCAGCUAAUUCUUGUUUGGCUAAUCCUUUUCUGAAAAGCCAAGCCACUCCUUGUAAUCAUUUAAACACCCUCAGGGUAUCACGAACACCAGAGCUGUGAAUCAUCACUCCACAGUGACCUCCUCUGGCAUCUGCUGUGGAGAGAGAAUCACGUCAGUCUCCACCAAUUCUAAGCCUCAGCUUAAGACUGAACACAUAAUAGUAUAGUAAUUGUUUCCACCACUGGAAAUGCUGUUACUCAUAGUUAUUUAAAGUUACUGUCUUCACAAAAGUCACCAGAGCCCCUUUACUGUGACAGGUUCCUUUGUGAGCUGACAUUUCUACUUAGACGCACAACUGGACCCACAAAUUUAUCACGGAUGUUUCCUUACCAGAGAGCAUGGUAAGCAGUUGCUGACUAGCAUUGGUCAUUAUUAGGGGAUGUCUGAGCAAAAUUAAAAUACUGGCUUAACAGGUCUCUUAAUUCAGGGAGAACUUGCGCAGAGCUCCCUAAAAUAAUGGGUGAUUUCAAGUCAUAGCGACACAGUGUCUCAUGCUGUUGUUUCAGUAACACCAACACUACCAUCACUCCUACUCGGAAGCGCUUCUCUCAAAUGCUCCUGAUUCUACUCUAGGAAGCAGUGUGGCUUUGAAGGCAUCAGACACAUUUGUGAAUUUGUGUAAGGGUCGGGUCUUUACCUCUUAUGCCUCAAAUGUCCCUGUCUUUGAAUUAAAGAUAAUAGGACUGGAUUCCCGGAUUAAAACAAGAGUUCUCAGUCGGGGAUAAUGGGCACCGUUCUGCCCACCAGAGGACACAUGUCCAUGUCUAAAGACAUUUUUGUUUGUCACAACUCAAGGGUGCUGGUGAUAGAAACCCAGGAAGCUGCUUGCUGGACAUCCUACCAGGAACAGGACAGUCCCCACAACACAGGAUGAAUGGACCUGGUAUCAAUAGUGUCAAGGCUGAGAAACCCUGAGUUAGAAUAAGGAAAUUUUUUGUCCUUUUCCUUUUUUUUUUUUUUUUUUUUUUUNNNNNNNNNNNNNNNNNNNNNNNNNNNNNNNNNNNNNNNNNNNNNNNNNNNNNNNNNNNNNNNNNNNN